rnacentral:rRNA from 1 species
AUUGAACGCUGGCGGCAGGCCUAACACAUGCAAGUCGAACGAGUGGCGGACGGGCGGGUGGUGUCUGGGCAACUGCCUGACGGACCGGGAUAACUACUGGAACCGGUAGCUACUACCGCUAACCAUCCUUUGUGCCGUGGUGGGAUUAGCUGGUGGGUGGGGUAACGGCUCACCAAGGCGACGAUCCCUAGCUGGUCUGAGAGGAUGACCAGCCACACUGGAACGGAGACACGGUCCAGACUCCUACGGGAGGCAGCAGUGGGGAAUAUUGCACAAUGGGCGCAAGCCUGAUGCAGCCAUGCCGCGUGUAUGAAGAAGGCCUUCGGGUUGUAAAGUACUUUCAGCGGGGAGGCGUUACCCGCAGAAGAAGCACCGGCUAACUCCGUGCCAGCAGCCGCGGUAAUUC